rnacentral:rRNA from 1 species
UGGGCAACCUGCCCUCAGCUCUGGGAUAACUCCAAGAAAUUGGGGCUAAUACCGGAUAUGACUGCUGACCGCAUGGUCUGGUGGUGGAAAGAUUUUAUCGGCUGGGGAUGGGCCCCGCGGCCUAUCAGCUUGUUGGUGGGGUAGUGGCCUACCAAGGCGACGACGGGUAGCCGGCCUGGAGAGGGUGACCCGGCCACACUGGGACUGAGACACGGCCCAAGGACCUUCCCGUAACGGG